rnacentral:rRNA from 1 species
AUUGAACGCUGGCGGCAGGCCUAACACAUGCAAGUCGAACGAGUGGCGGACGGGUGAGUAAUGUCUGGGAAACUGCCUGAUGGAGGGGGAUAACUACUGGAAACGGUAGCUAAUACCGCAUACCAUCAGAUGUGCCCAGAUGGGAUUAGCUUGUUGGUGGGUUAACGGCUCACCAAGGCGACGAUCCCUAGCUGGUCUGAGAGGUUGAACAGCCACACUGGAAAUGGGACACGGUCAAGACUCCUACGGGAGGCAGCAGUGGGGAAUAUUGCACAACGGGCGCAGGCCGGAUGCAGCCAUGCAGCGUACAUGAAGAAGGUCUUCGGGUUGUAAAGUACGUUCAGCGGGGAGGCGUUACCCGCAGAAGAAGCACCGGCUAACUCCGUGCCAGCAGCCGCGGUAAUAC